rnacentral:lncRNA from 1 species
GGUCUUUAUAAAUGCAAGAGGGAGGCAGAAGAGAGAGAAGUGGAGAAACGGCAGCAUGAGGGGGACUUGGCCUGAUCUUGCUAGCUUUGAAGAUAGAGAAAUGGGGUAAUGAGCCAAGGAAUGCAGGCAGCCUCUAAAAAAGAAGAAAAAGCAAGAAAACAAAUUAUCCCUGGGAGCCUUCAGAAAGAAACACAGCCCUGGCAACACCAGGAUUUUAGCCCGGCAAAACCCAUUUCAGACUUCCGAUCUCCAGAACAUGGAAACCAAGCCCACAGAAUCCAGCUCCCCUCCCUCUACCCAAUCACCACCACGAUCUGCUUUUCUGAGUCCUGGGCCAAGCAGAUGUGCAGUUCCAUGAGGAAGAAUGCCACCUCCUUCUGCAUAUUUUCUUCCCAACUGCUUACAUUGAAGACAUAUGAAGACUUCAGGCCUACCACCAGAUGCGAAAGCAAUGUCCUUGAACAGAUUUCUAAUCAGCUGUCACAAUUGUGUAAGAUCAAUUAUUAUAAGUUAGGCUCCUAUAAUAAUCCCCUUGAUUCUACGUUGUUCUUAGUAGUUGUGCUUCCCUGUUUGAACCCUAAGGAAUAGACUCUGCUGUAUUUGUCCUUAUAAGAGCUUGACAUGGUAAAUGCUUAACUGUUUAUUUUCUGACCACCUCUAGUAGAAGAUAAGCUCCUUGCGGAUAGGCAGUUUUGUUUAUUUUAUUCAUGGCCAUAUCUAUAGCAUAUAUAAUUGUG